UACGAAGGGGGCUAGCGUUGCUCGGAUUGACUGGGCGUAAAGGGCGCGUAGGCGGCUUGUACAGUCAGACGUGAAAUUCCUGGGCUCAACCUGGGGGCUGCGUUUGAUACGUAUGGGCUUGAGUUCGGAAGAGGGUCGUGGAAUUCCCGGUGUAGCGGUGAAAUGCGCAGAUAUCGGGAGGAACACCGGUGGCGAAGGCGGUUCUCUGGGCCUUACCUGACGCUGAGGAGCGAAAGCGUGGGGAGCGAACAGG
rnacentral:rRNA from 1 species